rnacentral:tRNA from 1 species
GGCGUGGCCAAGUGGUAAGGCGCCAGGUUGUGGCCCUGGAGAUCGUGGGUUCAAGUCCCAUCG